GUCGUGGAUCAUCCAGGUAACCACACACAGUAUUAAGAACCAAGGGUUCCCAAACUUUUGAAUGGGGUUAUUUUAAUAAUUUCAGCAAUAUUUUUGUCUUGUGGACUAAAUGUAAACAUCUUUUAUGUACAAUAUCUUACUCAGGACAGUACUACAUAAUAAAUAACAUGUAUUUAGUAUGAUCUCUCUUAUUUUUUGAAAAUUAUUCACAUUUUCACAGAUUCUGCAAGGGGUGCCCAAACUUUCGAGCCCCACUGUAUACUAAAGCUAUUCAGACAGUCUCACAAACCAUUUCUUGCUCAAUGAAUUGCUCUUAAUUCUUAAUAUUGCAUAUGCCAACAGCAUAGCUAAAGAAAUAGUUCAAACAAAAAUGACAAUUCUGAUUAUUUUUAAGCACAUUCGUCAUGCACAUUUUAGUCUCCUCAUUUACAAAGACAGUGAACCAUGAUUUUAAACUUCAAAAAUUACCCAAAUAGAAAGACAUCAAUACGACUGGUGCUCUAUAUUCUCAGUCUCCAGCUGGUGUCAUUUGAAAGCUUUGUGUGAUGAACAAACCAAGACUGAAGCUGUUAUUCUGUGAUAAUCUUCAGCACCAUUAGACUGGGUCAUAAAAUUAGUGAGUUGAAUGAUUCAGGAAUGACUUGUCUAAUCCAAUUUGUAAAUCUUAUCAAAUCCUAUUUUGUUUGCUGAAACAGACUCACAAGAACAAUUCGUUCACUUAUCCAGUCUUUAAGUUCAACUCACCGACUUACUGAUUUGGUCUCUGCGGUUCUUGAGUUCUGGACACUUAUAGCAGGAUGCAUAAGAUUACUUUUGUUGUCAUUUUCGAAGCUUGAUCAUCCUAGUCACUAUGAACCAAUAUACAGAACCUGCUUGUAGUGCAGCCUUUGUGGUCAGUUCAUUCCCUUAGUAUGUAAAAAGGUCUAAAAUGUGCUGUUACUUUCAACCUGCACGUAGUUUAACAUUUCUUUAGGUUCCUGCUAGAUUCUGUGAUUUAUUUUAUCAUCUCAUAUCCACAGUUUUUUUUUUUUUUACUGAGAAAAAUCUAUUGAAGUUCUUUAAAUAUAUUUAAAUUGAUUUUGGAAGGCAGUGUAUGUGUUUUUCAUAACUCAGGCUAAUCAAAUGUAUUUCUUGAUUUAAUAAUUUAUUUAGCACAAUUUGAAUGUUUGUUGUACUGCAGCAGAAUGAAGUGCCAUAAUUAUUUCAUUAAGCCUUUGUUAUUGUACGAACAUACAGAUACACCUAAGACAAAUGGGACCAAAAACUGUUGAAAAAUGAGCCAGAGGGGAAGACUUGAUGCUGAAACUCAUAUUAGAGAUAUAUAGACAUUGUAGAUAUUGGUGUAGAGAAAAAAAUGGUACAUUAGAAAGUAUUUAGCUUUUUCUUAUUUUGAACAUGAGCUGGAGAAAAAAGUUAAAAUAUUUACUUUUAUAUUAUGACAUGCAGAAAUAUAAAGUAUUUAAUAAUAUAUAUAUAUAUUAUAUAUACAAUAUGUAUAAUAUAUAUGAUACAUUUGAGAUAUAAUAGACAGAUUUGAAUGGCCUACACUCUAUGUGCCUCCACACACACAGAACAGGACAUAAGCUAAAUCAGUAAGUUUAAAACAUAGAUGAGGAGUAAUGAUUUCACUUUUGAAGUCCUGCACAUGUUUAUUAUGUGUUUAUAUGAUUAAUAGUGGGCCUGUACAUGAUGUAGUCAAUAUUAACACUGUGCUAAGGAAUGUGCCAUUCUUUUAUAUAUAAAGAUAUUGCCUUAUUGAGAAAUAUCAAGUAUUAUACAACUCUUCUGCUGCUGCCAUUGCUGUGAAACCAGCAUGUUCAUGUUUUAAUGGAAAUGUCUUAAGCUUUCAUGAUAUGUGAUGUACGAUAUGUAUUUUAGCUUCUGCUGUUUGUUGCGUUCCGUGCUGCUCCUCUCUCUUACCUUCUCAUGUAGCAUUUUCCUAUGAAUCUCUGUCUUUUGCAAAAUUCUUAAAAUGCAUAGGCAGUUAAAUGCCAGUCUGUACAUGCAAGCUGACAAAUGUACAUGAUAUAUAGACAUGCUAGUACAUUUAAUUUUCUGUACGGUUAGUAUUGUAUGUGACUAGAUAUUUUUGGAGCAGUAUAUUUGCCUUAUGGAUGCACACCGCUGAACAUUACUGAGACAUUAUAAAAAACUUUCAGGUUUGUUAUUGAAACAUUUGUACAGUUUGUUAUUGGAAUUGGUUGAAUUUCUCAUACCUCAAAUGAUUGUAAUUUUCAGCAUUUGCUUUGUUCGGUUUUCUUCAAUUUAAUAAAGAUAGCUUCAAAC
ensembl:lncRNA